UGACUUUAAGCUCAAAAAAGUCAAUUUCACAUAAUACUUCCUCUUUAAACCUAGAAGGAAUCGGAUUAUGGUCAGAAAUAUGCAAUAUAUAAGAAACGUGUAAAUAAAAUGCAUGGAUUUAUUUGACUGAAAUAUGAGCAUUAUCUGUGAAUUUCAGACAAAACAAACUCUGUUAGGGGUAGACCAGUGUUGAAGAUGAAUUGUGGGAUUUAAGAUUGAAGCACAGACAUCAUCUCUUAGCAGUGCAUAUUUAAUGGAUAUUGGACAACUCAUGCCAAAGUUUGCAGAGACAAGAUCCCUAGGUUUCAGGUAAUUAUAGUUACUUCAGCAGCAGUUAUACUUGAAAAUAGAACAAAAUUAAAACACCAUCAAAUACCACUGAUGUGUUUAACCUUUUGGGACGUUUAGAAAUGUAUAUCUCUGUAUCGACCCUGCCAGUGACACCGGCUUGAAUUAUGAAAGCUCAGAUGUUCGCAAAUUAUUGAGCUGUGGCUCAUCUUUGCAGGAUUAUGACACAACUAUUUUAUGAAAAAGGGUAAUGAGACACCUUUUUUAUCCAGGAGCUGAACUGUGCCAGAAUGUUCAGAGUAUCAACCUUAGCUCUUUUAUGAAGCAGCUUUGCUUCUGGUUGUUAAAUUUCUAAUAAUUACAUUAAUUAACAUUCUUAAUCAUUAAUUACUCCUCAAAAGUUCCUUCAUUUUUUAAGAGCAGAAACAUCAUGUAUUAAUCAUCCAUCACUAUUCUCUUUUAUUUUCUUUGAAAUGUGUGAAAGACUAACGCCUGCCUGCAUUGUUUACAGCACAAGGCAAAAGAUACAAGCUUUUCAGAAACAGAUAAAUGCUGAAUCAAAAUCUGAUUAGAUGAAUCAGAGGUGGCAAACAGAACCAGUAGGACGUGCCGUUAUGUGGAAAUGUCAACGCUUGUUAUCGAACCACACUGGGAACAUUGAGCGUUUACCUCAGAUGUUUCAUAGACUUCUUUUUGUUUUAACUGCACUGUCUGGAGAUCAGAAAUGUGCCUCCUUCGCACACAUAAGAUGGUAAAAACACACACACAUCCACUAAUAUAUAGAUAAACAUCUGCAGAAAGACGGAUCAAACACAGUCGCAUAUAGGAAAAGUGCCAAAUCAAUCCUUGUGUGAUUUGAAAACUGCAAAACUACAGGCAGCGCUCUUCCAAUUACAGCAGCACCCCCACUCCCCCUCCUUUAUGUUUGAACCAUCGCCUCUCACACAAAGACAUAAUUGAGCGUGACGUCCCACUAGGGGGCACUCAUUGAUCCUGCGUGCCCGAUCCUCUCAUGACAUCAUGGAUUCAGGAGGGAGGGAGGCAGGUUGGGGUGCAGAGAGAGAAACAAGAAGGGUGGCGUGUUGGGAGGGUGAGUUAAGUAGGAGGAGAAGGUGUGGGUGCGGGGGGUGGGGGUGGCAAAAGUAUUAGUGGAGAUUACAUCACCCACUCCAGCAUCUCGCAGCAUAGCAACCACAGAGGUGAAAGCACCCCAGGGAGAAGGGGAAGAAGGAGCAGGAGGAAGAACAAUAAACUGAUACCACUGACGUCUGCAGGUGGAGAACAGAUGAGUGUGUGUUUUAUAGGUAUUCACUGAGUCUAAAUGUGCACCUGUGAAUUGAUUAUAUAGGAAUCUCUUCCAAAUGAACACAUUUAAUUUUUGUCUGCACAACUAAGUGCUGCUGAGCUGUUUAGCUUAAUGAAAGGCACACGCGUGGGUGAGCUGCAGGUUUGAAUUUGCAGCACAAUGUAUGCCUACACUUGUCCAAAACAGCCACAUUUAGCCAUGCAGAUCACGUUUCCCAAAAACCCCUUUUACCCAAUGUACAUCAGGCACCUGCGCCACUUCAUUGGCUCAUGAUAUAUUCAUUACACACUUAAAUAAAUUACAGACUUCCAAUAUGCUGGACAUGCCGGUCAAGAGCACGACAUAAACAUAAAUAUCAGACGGGGGAUGAAGGAAGGAAUGGCAGCUGGGUCUGAAAAGUGGACAGGAGGCAGUGAUAGACGGCUGAAAAGCAAAGAAAAAGCAGACAAAGAGGACAACAUGCUUAUUAAGAGUGGUCUUCAGCAGGACAGUGUUGUAAUGGGCUACAAGGACAAAAGGAGCAUAAAUGACCAACAGAGAGCAGGAGGAGAAACGGAUGCAAGGAAAAGGAAGGAGAAGCAACAGAGGGAAUCUGAGAAGCUGAAAGUGACGAUGAGCGGCAGUAACAGAAAGAAGAUCUGCUGACCUUUACUGAACCUGCGAGGUAAAAUGAGUUGAGCACCAGAUCGCCGUCACAUGUUAAAUCAUCACAGUGUGACUCUGCGCAUGCCGAGCUGGAGUGUUUGCUUGAUAAGAGGCUAAAGACGUCCUUCUGUAACUCUGAGGCUGCAGGUUUGCAGAAUGUAACAGUAAAAUACUGUGCUAAAUAGACUCGUAACCAAUCCAAACAAAUAAGCUCACAGCCAAAAACUGUUGGUAAAAUUGAUCAGAUUUUCCAGAUUUCCUAAUAAUGAAAAACAAUGACCAUUUGUAAUGGAAGCAGAGUAAAUAGCAGAGCGUGGUUUCGUUCGACAAUAUUUCGGUAAAGAGAGAAAGAAAUUCAUUUUAGCUCUUUGCUAUGUGUUUUGCGCAAACAAUUAUAGAUUUAAAAAUUGUCUUAGACUGUUAUGUAAUUAUAACGGAGGAGAGAGUUUCAUGCAGAAACACUGAGCUCAACAGAGAAGCAACAAGGGGAUUCAGCAGCAACAGGAUCAUAGAAAGUUCCUUUAUUUCAUCCUUUUGAGCCUUCAACCUCUACCUGCAGUGGAUUACGUAGGAUUUGGAAAUGUCGGCAGCCUGCUGGAAGAUUUAGACACCGUAGAGUCAUAUUUUUAGUCUGGAACAUAUACCAAGAGCCUGCUCAUGUAGUUAGCAAUUAUACCUGGGUUAAACAUGCUGGUCACUAAAUAAAGUUGAUAAAAACAGCCUCGCAAUCAGAAAUGUCCCCAUCAGAAGUUUUGUUUUACUACAGCAGAAAACUUAUUUUAUUGAGCAACAUAUGUUCUUUUACUUCAUCUCUCACUCACAUAUGGUCUAAGGUUCCCUCUGCUUAUUAAUAAUUCAUGUAUUGAUAAACUGAUACUGUACACUAAAUAUAUGACACUAAACUGCAAUACUAAGAAGUCAACGCCAAGUAGUUCUGCUGCCGGAUUUAGUGAAUACAAGAACUAUUUCAUCAAUGUUUUGUUUCCUGAAAAGGUCAGAGUUCAUGUCUAUGAUCUACACCCGUCCUCCACCUCUACCUCAAAAAACCAAACCCUUUCCGUUCAAUCUCUGCAACAGAGAUGUCCAAACUUUUUAACAUUUACGCCAAAAUUGUUGAAUUGAAACUUUCAAUCAGAUUUAAAAAAAAAAAGCAAAAUACAGAGUAAAGUCUUUUUAUUUUUGCUUUACCUGCAAUAAAUUAAACAUGCAUAUUAAGAAAUGUAUACUUUCCUAAGUUUUGGAGGUGGAUUGUUUUUUCAUUUUCAGAAAACAAAUCCUGAGGCUGAGCAACUGGAUGCUUGCUGUACUUGGCCAAGUUUAAUGAAUAGGUGUGUCAAGUGUGCUUUUUUUGCGUAAAAGUCGUAAAUGUUUCUGACCUUAUUUACAAUUAAAUUGCAUUUAAAGCAGAAAGUAAAGUAAAAAUACUUUUGUUUACCUGAAAUUCUCAAUUUGAAGAAGUUUGUAAUUUGUCAGAUAAAUUUUAGAACUCGGUAUCACUCACACUGUGAUCAGGAACCACAUGAAUUCAUCUCUAGUGUUAUAAAUGGCACUUUUAAGUAAAGCAUGUUUAGGGCAUAUAGUCAAAGGUGAUCCUUGGGCUGUGAAGGGUGAUGAUGGUCAAGGUCUUCAUGUGAAGAGUUCUGUAUGUGAACAUCGUACAGGAACUUCUUUCUCAGAAAUCUUUCUUAGCUUACUUAUGGACAGUGAGCGUUGUGCCCUUUUUUUGGCACUUUCCUGAUCUCCACGUAAUUUGAAAAGUCAUGUCAGCCAGAGCUACACUUCAGUGUCAGAGCCUUUACCGGCUCUGGGAGAAUGUUAUCCAGGCGCAGCACCUUGUCACUAAGGAGCUUCUUAACUUCCUCUGACGCUCUGCCUCUCCAGACAGAGGAUGUGUUGGUGGGAUACAGGAGUUCCUCAGAGUGCUCUCUUCACUGCCAGAAGAUAUCAGUCUGAAUCAGCAGUUUAUCUCCCUUGGUGAAUGGAGCCUGGGUCAAUACUUACUUUCCUUUCUUGAAUUUCCUGACAGUUGAACAGAAAGCUACAUUUGAACCACUUCAACUCCAGCUCUCUCCAGACACCAACGUUCAUUUGCAACGUUGGGAAACUCCCAAACUAUCCAGUAACAAGUAGAUAAUUGGUAUUUUUAGUAGGUUGUGCUAAAGCACCGUGCAACAGUUUUCAACAGGUGUGAAAAAAGGCUGUAAACAAAGAAUGCUUUCCAAUAUCCAAGUGUUAGUAAUUCACAUGAGUUAACAGAACAGCAUGAAGGAACAGAGGAAAAAUGUAAAUAAAAUCAACAUUUGACUUUGAUUUCCAAACAGGAUCUUUGAGAUAGAUUUUGAAGAAACAUAUUUGCCGAUCUAUAUUUAAUCUGUCUCAUCAUGUAACACCAGACAGUCUAAACGUAUAAAGAUGGGCUAGGCAGUGAUAGUGUUAGAAAAGCUGCAAAGAAGACCUAAUUGAUUUUUUGUCUGCAUUUUUGGCACCAGGUGGAUGAAACUGAAACACAGUGAUAGACGAGGAAGGAGUGAUCUGUUCUGUUGCACCGUGGAAAUGUCAAAAAUGACUAACUGUUAGCCGCUAACAAUGCUAUUGGCAUCUACAUCACCUUCCCAUCAACUCCUGAAGACUAAAGGUUUCUCCCCCCUCCCUUUACCUCGAAGACCUUCUCCGAUGCCCAAGGCCAAGCCGUCUUUGGUCCACUGAACGAUGCCCGUGUAGUUGAAGACCACGCAGGACAGCACCACUCGUUCUCCCAGCACCACUGACUGGUCGGCCGGCUCCUGGGAGAAUCGCACACAGCACACUGCAACAGAAGGACAAAGAAGGAAAUCAAUUUUAGGAUCUGUUCAUUGCAUCUUGGCCAUGAGCUGCCAUCCUUUAUUAUGCCGUAUUGAGCGACACACAGCCUCUCUAAUCUUAUUGACUCAUGUCUGUCUAUAUGAUGGCAGCUGGAGUAAUUUAUUGUGUGCUCUUAUUGAGUAUAUGGUGUAUUUAUAGUCUGAUUUUAGUAUUUGUUUUUAUCACGAGGGCAUUUCAAUAUAAAUCCUGUCUGAGUGGAGUCCCUGUGUCUUCCAGAAGUAUUUCUUCUCCUUUAGAUUUGCUACAUUUUGUAAUGUUACAACCAAAAACUUUAGUGCAUUUUCUUGGGAUAUUAUGAGUUAUGGAGAGUGUUAAUAUAGAGCUGAAAGAAUUAAUUGUGAUUAAUUAAUUGUGUUUUGUGUUAAUAUGUUGGUUUAUCGGAUAAAUUGUCAAUAAAAUGGACAUUUGGAGUUGUA